UACGUAGGGUGCAAGCGUUGUUCGGAAUUACUGGGCGUAAAGGGCUCGUAGGCGGCCAACUAAGUCGGAUGUGAAAUCCCCAGGCUCAACCUGGGAACUGCAUCCGAUACUGGAUGGCUUGAAUUCGGGAGAGGGAUGCAGAAUUCCAGGUGUAGCGGUGAAAUGCGUAGAUAUCUGGAGGAAUACCGGUGGCGAAGGCGGCAUCCUGGACCGAGAUUGACGCUGAGGAGCGAAAGCUAGGGGAGCAAACGGG
rnacentral:rRNA from 1 species